AUUGCAGUUUCUUUCUUCUAUUCAUAUUUUGAGCAUGCUCUUGAUAUGGCUGCAGCACUUCAUCACCAAUUAGGAGAUACUGAGGAGCUAAACGAUGGCAAUGCCUCAGUGAAGAAGAGAACUAAUGUGUUACUUCUUGGUGAUCGCCUUGGAGAUCUAGGAAUGUCUGAUGGUUUGAACUAUGAGAACCAAAUUGCUGUCGGAUUCUUCUUGUUCCAUCAGCAGAAUUCCAUGGGAAAGACUAAUUUAUACAGGAUGGGCCUCGCAUGCAACGCGUGUGAGAGUUCUUUGGGAAGUCUUUUGUAUAAGAGUCCCUCCAGAAAAGGUGAAUGUUAACUUGGCUGGACUGCUUGCACUGGUGCUGCCAUGUGGAUUGAUUGAAGGUGGACCUGCCGGCCUUCCUGUUGGACUUCAGAUGAUUGGUGCUGCCUUUGAUGAGCUUUUCAACAUAUUUCAGAUGAUUUCUGAAAAUAUUAGGCAGACAUUCAAGUUUCAGCGACAAAAAGAACCCUAGAAAUUCAAUGUUCAGGAACAUUUGAUGGCGUCUUGGAGCUUAUGGUUCAUGCUGGCAGAAGUCUGCCUAAAGCUAUCAUGAUGAUGAUACCUGAGGCGUGGCAAAAUGUUAAAAACAUGGAUCGUGAUAGAAAAGCCUUAUACGAAUAUUUUUCAGCUCUUAUGGAGCCAUGAGAUGGACCUGCACUUAUAUCAUUUACUGAUGGCCACUAUCUUGGAGUGACAAUGGACCGGAAUGGAUUGCGCCCCGGUCGCUUUUACAUCACACAGUGGACGCGUGAUCAUGGCCAGUGAGGUUGGUGUUGUAGACAUCUGCUAGGAGAUGUGGCUAGGAAAGGAAGACAUCUGAUCGGUCCAGAAGGGGACCUUACUGAAACAGUUCAUGUGGAAGGCUAUGUGGCAGUUCACGUUUGUAUUUUGUUUUGAAAAAAUUAAAUAGACCAUUAAUUGUUUUGUUGAUAUUGUGCAGAAUUGUUGUCUUGAUGAAUGUUAAAUGGGUGAAAUAUGCACAGGUUCAAUCA